rnacentral:tRNA from 1 species
GCUCCCGUGGCGGAAUUGGUAGACGCGCGAGAUUCAGGAUCUCGUGGGCGCAAGCCCGUAGAGGUUCGAGUCCUCUCGGGAGCACCU